AAUGCAACGCACCCUCUGCCGAAGGCGGUCUAUUUAAACCUGCCCGAGGCCACGCCCACUCGCAGCGCAAUCGAUCCGCUGCACCACACAGGUGUGCGCCGAGUCGGAAACGUAAACCUGCCGCAGACUCUUGUUGAUUUCUCUUCUACUGGUGAUGAAACGUCCCGCAACGAAUCUUACCUGCGAAACAAAGAGACUGGCUGUGUCCGAAUUCACCCACUCAUUCACUACCCCCUACGAUUUCGGACACUGCUUGGAGUCGCGACGGUAAUUAAGUAUUUGGCGUAGGAUUAUGACGUAACUACAACGACCCCGGCCGUUGGACGAUCCUAUUGUAUUUAAAAUAUUUUAUAUUUAUGUCCGUGUUUAUUUUCACUAUUAUUCAAUGGUUUUAUGACAGACAUUAGGCGAAAUAGAGCAAGAAGAGAGAGAAGGCUGAGACGUGUUGCUGCACCGCCGUCGACUCGUCUCUUCCCUCCGCCAGCGAGCGCAAUGCAUCAUGGUAAAUAUUGCUCGGUUACUGACCAUCGGAUGUCCACUACUUUUCACGAUGCAUUCUGGGAUACAUUCAGUGCACUAUAUAGGGUAUAUGAAAUCUAGGGGGUGAUUUAGGACGCCACUACAAAAUGGCGAAGGCACUAUGAUUUCGGACACAGCCACAGUGUUGGAGUCACUUUUGUGAAUUGUUUUGUGAAGGGCGUGUUCCUGUUGGCUUCCUGAAAUCAACCGAUGGGCCUCGGCGCGCACUUUCACAAGCGGAAGUGGAGAUUUCCCGCUCCUCUCAAUUGGGAUAACGUCACAUCCGACCAUCUGCCACUUCACUUCAUCAAGGCGGCGUUCGCUGUCAUCCAGGCGGCACUGAUACUGCUGCAGGAUCUUGCUCGUCUGCUGUUCCUGCGACACGAGUCUCUGCUCGUACUCUUCCAGCUUGCGAUGGGACAUCUUCAGCCGUUCCUUCAAGGAAUGUAUCUCCUCUUCGUAUUCCUUUACCUGACAGACCGAAGGAAAUAAAGUGAGUUCAGGUUCAACUGUAACAUGUAUCCUGCGAUAUUCCUGAAUGAUGACUGAUUUCAAUGUAUAAAGAUAUCUAUACAGACACAACCAUCUAUUCCCCAAACAAACUCACAACUCAUUUUGUGAUACGCCAUUCUUUACAUGCAUUAAUUUAAGAUCCUACGUGCAUUCUAUAUGAUUUGAAGUACAAUACAAUACACUGUACCUCAUUUAUUUAAGACUAAAUGUAGAAGUCAGGCUUACAGGAACCAGUCUUUCCUUUUUUAUAUCCAAAAUAUGAGAUUUUUAGCCACAAUACUAUUGAGGGAGCAUUCAAGAACAAAACUAAAACAGGCCAACAUUUGUCCAUCCUGUAAGGUUAACAUGAAUCUUCUGUUCAGGUUAUUGAUCACUCCAAUCCACAAUUUAUCUUUAAACUUUUCACUCUUGCUGCUAUUUGGAGCUGCCUGUAUACCAAGCUCAAUUGUAACGCUCGGCAUUAGAGUGUAUGCAUCGUAUUUCAAUAAUAAAAAAAGGAGCAGAUAUUUUACUACUUCACUUCAGAUCCCUGAGAGCGCUUUCAAGAUAACAUUUCUCUGAAUCGCCUUACUCCUUUAGACCUCCCCUUGUAUCUCAGCUCUCUUUAAAUAGUGUCAUAUUUAUUUUGGGGGAAAUCAUACACACACAGUAGGCUAAAACCCCAAAAGCAUUUCAACUAUCAUUGAGCAGGAGGUGCGUGUACUAACCCUCUCUAAUCGUGACUCAUCCAUGCUUUUGGAGUACUCCUUCAGCUGACCCUCACGGUCCGGCCGCAGGCUCUCGAUGUCGGCAGACAGAUGUGGCAUGUUGGACACCCAGGCGACUGUCCUCUCAUUGAGGGCCGAGGUUGUCAAGUUGGACUGAGAACCCUGGAAGAAAGAAACGGGACGCUGGAUUAUGAUGAAAAAGAGAAAUCUUGAUGAAAAGAGAAAUCAGUGUGUGCAAUAUGAGCCCAACUGGAUGUUUGUUCCACAUGUAAUGAAAAAUAUGGACUGACGGCUUCCUGCCACAGCUGUCACCAACUCAGAGGCAUAAAAAAAAGUAUGCAGGGCUGGAUCGAGCCAGCGGUGGACGGGUCACGUAGAAAACUUCCCUCGACGAGCGAAGGUCUCGUUCUGCGUGACGCCUCAUGUUCAGAUUGGAUGAGAGGGAUUCUACCGCUGACACGCCAGUUGUAGGGGACGGCAGGCGAGAGAUGUCUAUUGAGCUGCGGAAACACGACAGAAAGAGACAUAAGUGCUACCAGCUUACAGAUGGAUUGUACUGAAUCCUAUUUUACAUCUAAACCCAUUUGAAACAAAAGUCUAAGCACACCACAACAACUGCUGUCCUGUGUUUUUUUUAAAGUAUUAUUAUUUAAAGCAGUUUUUUAGGCCUUAUUUUGACAGGGGACAGUAGAGUGCUGACGAGAAAGGAGAGUGAGAUAGAGGGGAAACGCCAUGUGACUGAGGUCCGUGGCCAAACGCAAAGCAGGGACGUCGUGAUCACAUGGUCAGGGGCUUAAAACUUCUAGGUUAGCGGUGCUUACUUAUUUGAUGUGAUCGCUUAAUAUGAGGAAAUAACCUCUUGCAAAUCCUCAUGAAUUGAUUGUGUGGCUUGGGGUUGUGAACGGUUUAACCACAGGGACUUUUUAGAAUAUGAUCUAGUUGUCUUAAUAGGUCAAACUACACUAUUUCACAAUAAACCUAGUUUUGUCUAUCAGAAUGCGUUUGAUUUUUCCCUUUUCCUUACUUGGGUAAUCAUCUGCAUACAUCGCCUACUACUAAUAAUACUAAUUGACAGAGGAACAGAUGAUGAAAAUAAUUGUUGGAUGCAGUCAUAAGUAAACUAGGAGAAGGCAUGAGUCCAUCCUGUCAGUCACCAGUAGCCUGAUAGCUCUGGGUUAGAGCUACAACGAAUGGCAGAUGUGUCGUUCUUUGUGCUGAUAUUACCUCUGUUCUUUCACUUACUUAAAAACUUCUCAUUUAAACAGUUAGGCUGUAAUGUGAGCAUGACGUGAAUUUAAACAGAAGAAAGAGGUUUAGGGAAGAGAGUGUGGGAACAGAUGGUGCUGGCUGAUAUGGAUUGAUAAAAUACUUUAAAAAGCCCAAAGAGAAUUAGGGGUUCUUAGAAAUAGAAUUGUUUUGUUUUGAGCUAUUGAAUUCUCACUUUGUGUAUUUUUGAUCCAUUAAUAUGAUUUUAAAUGUAUUAUUAUGCUUGUUGUGUUUGAUUUUCUCUAUUCUUGUUUUUAUUUGCUCUCAUUUGUAAAGGCUGUUUUAAAAGAGAGGCUUUGCAACAAAUGUUAAGCUAUCAGCAUUACACAUCUCGGUGCCUAGUCCAGAAAAGCAUACUCUUAUGGUAAAACGCAAAUGCAAUUUUGAUAUGUAAAGCAAAAGAAACCCAAACCCAAAAGAAGAUACCUGUUGAGGUCUCGCAUCAUAAGGCUUUGGAAGUCGGAGGACAUGAGGCGAUUGAACGAUGGUCGCGAAAAGAGUCUGUCAUUCGGUCGCUCUGGCUGGUGAUUCGUCGGCAUGUGGAGCUGCGGGUUCCUCAGGGCGACGCUGAUGUCAUUCAGCAGACGUGGUAAGGGUCCCAGUUUGAGAAUAGCAUCCUUAAAACACAGACCACAUUUGUGAAAUCAAGGAAUCCACGUUCUCUAUGCUCACAUGACAUACACCCCAUGGAAGUUUUGGCACCACACAGUAUCACUGAGUAUUUCUAUUUUGAAUAAGAGGAGAUUAAAAGGUCAAACUGGGUGAAAAUAAAAAAUUUGACAUCAUACCUCUGGAUCAGGUGCCUAAUUGAGCGGGUGUCAUUAACUAAAUCCUUUACUUUUAAUCAAGUCAUGUCAUAAGUUUAAUUCGUCAGUGUUAUUCCUUCAGUCAUCAACUCAGUAAAAUAGUAAAGAUACAUUAAAGAUAAGAAUACAUCACAUCCCCAUUGUGCUUCCCUAUGAAUGCAUUUUAAUGUAAAGGAAUCAGAUCCGAUAUCCUUCUUUUAGGUACCAGAAUCAGAGGAAAGUUUGAUCUUUGCAUUCCUAAAAAUUAUUAUUUAGUGUUUUUUUUCCUCAAAUGUCUUCCAGAAACCAGAGCAGAGAAACAAUAAAAAGCAAAUAAUAUUACACAUUUGUAAACCUACGGAGGCAAGUAUUUGUAGUAUAAGCAAGUAAGUAUAUUUUAUACUUUCUUUGUGUUGAAAGUAGUGAAAUUUCAUUAAAUCCACAGCACAAGAGCUAGACUUAAAUAUUUUAGUCUUGUAUAAGUACAAAAUCCACCUCUUUUUUUCAGUUUGAUUAAUAUUCAUUAUGUCCGUUAGAAAAAAUUGCAGAAUCUCAUUUGACAACUCUACUCUUGAGAGAAAUCAUAUUAAAUGUUAAAUUCAAUCGUUCUAGAAAUUGAUCACAUUAUUCUACCUACCUUGCUCAACUGGCCCAUGACUUCCCAUAGUAAACUGUGGAGCAUGGACAAUUCUCUGCCGAGGUCGAUGUAGCCCUCAAACCCUCCAGCGUUUCCUCCAGUCUCCAUGUUGGAAAUCUCAUAAAUGAACUGCUGCAUGGAGCCCCACUCCAUCUCCAGGAACUCAUUCAUGAAGUACAUGUAUUCCUCCUUGGGUCCAAAUCUGUGUGACAUGACACGUGAAGACAAAGAAGAGGGUGGAAACAGCGGAUCAGUGGAUUUACAGUUUACAUGAGCAGGAGUUUGUGGUUUACAAUCCAUAAAGCUAAAUUGAUCAAUAUUUGUAUAUGAAGAAUCUGUCAAAUUACUGUAAUUUGAAAGGUAUGGCUCCUCAUGAUGAACCCACACUAAUCUGGACCUUGGGACAUUUCAGUUUAUCCGAUUCAAAAUCACAGAUGAGAAAAGAACGAAGUAAAAACUAAAAAAAAGGGAAUUUCUGACUGAUGACAACAAUUACAACUUCAAAUAAAUGUUAUGGUUUUUCCAUGUUUACCAAUUAUAAUUGUAAUCUAAGAGAAGCAAGUGAAAAUAGCCAUCAUAAGGUGACGUCAGUAUUUUUUCUCCAUUGUUCCUGAAAUGUUGAGUCAAAUUACUACCAGACAUUUGAUGUCUUUAUUACAGAAGGUUCCUAUUGAAGUCAGCAGAAUUGUUUUAAUAUUCAAAAAAGUGUGCAGAGUGAAGAUAGGAACAAAUGUGUUGCAGCUGAAAGGCUCAGAGCUCAUUGAUGGUGAGUAGCAGCUUAUAGCCUCGCAGUCAAAACUGCGAACCUCCGUCUCCGUGAUGCUUCUCUGUGACAACAACAGUGAUGCUGCACCAGUGUGGGGGGACGAAGGACGACAAAAAACUCACUUGUUGAAGCUGGCCAGGUUCUGCAUCACCUUGGCUAUGAGCGUGAGCGUGCGGGACGUGCGCUCGGCGGGGUACUCCUGCAUCAGGUUGAACAGGGAGGGGGACAUGAUGGCCGGGCACAUGAAGCGAAGGAACAGGGAGGAGCUGAUGAGGCUGUCGGCGAGAUCCUCUCUUCCACGCUCAGCACAUCUGGCUCUCCACGAGGCAAAGACUUCUUUCAGCUCCCGGGGAAAUAUGCUGAAACGGGAGCAGGACUUUAUUACCCACCGUCAAGGAGAAGUGCGAGGAAAAAAAUCAAGUAACAUCCAAAAGAAUUCAGCAAAGUUGAGACUAAGACGUAUGGAAAAAUCACUGGACCGGUUCUUUUUUAUUUUAUAAAACACUUUUUCAAGAGACUUAUUGAUAAUUUUACUGACUAUGUAUGUCACUGAUUAAAAAAAAUAUCUAAAUACUAAA